UCCUAAAACUCACCGUGUGUUUUUCUUGUGGAAACUCUUCUCCUGCAGGCCUUACCUUGUCCUGGGAGAGGGUUCUCAGCACAGGCCCAGACCCUGAACCCACGAAUAUUCCAGAAACUGAGAAGAAAAUGGAAGCCUGCAGCCAAUGUGGGUGCUGUCCUUGAAGAGUCCAGCAAGAGCCCCAGGCAUCUGGAGAGCCGGUGACCAGCUGAAGACACGAAGGAACAACUGGAGAAUGGAAAGGAAGCAAGAAGACAACCUGAAGCUGGGCGGUGGAAUACACCUGGAAUCCCGACAUUUUGGGAGGCUGUGGCAGGAGAGUGGCAAGUUUGAGUCCAGGCUGGGCAACUGAAUGACUUUGUGAAAACUUGUCUGAAAAUAAAAAAUAAAAAAAGGGCCGGGGAUGUAGCUCAGCAAGAAGGCCUUAGACCCAAUUCCUAGAGCUGGGAAAAAACCCAGACAACCCGAGAUCUGCCAAGGUCAGGAAGAAGCAGAGUGGUGGUGGAUAUAUGGUGAAGGACAGGAAGAUCUGGUAUGCAGGUUGGAGCCAGGUGAGGAAACGACCUUCUCAGAGAACCGGUCGCUCGCAGAUUCAGUAAUGU
rnacentral:lncRNA from 1 species